rnacentral:ncRNA from 1 species
UUGAGCCGUAUAAGUUGAAAGCUCACGUACGGUUCUUAGGGGAGUUAGGAGCAGCGAUGCCCCUCGCUUACCCGAC